GACGAACGCUGGCGGCGUGCUUAACACAUGCAAGUCGAGCGGGGAUCUUAAGCGGAAGUCUUCGGAUGGAAGCUUGAGAUUCUAGCGGCGGACGGGUGAGUAACGCGUGAGCAAUCUGUCCUACACAGGGGGAUAACACUUGGAAACAGGUGCUAAUACCGCAUAAGACCACGGGAUCACAUGAUCCUGAGGUAAAAGAUUUAUCGGUGUAGGGUGAGCUCGCGUCCGAUUAGCUAGUUGGUGAGGUAACGGCCCACCAAGGCGACGAUCGGUAGCCGACCUGAGAGGGUGAUCGGCCACAUUGGAACUGAGACACGGUCCAAACUCCUACGGGAGGCAGCAGUGGGGAAUAUUGGGCAAUGGGCGAAAGCCUGACCCAGCAACGCCGCGUGAGUGAAGAAGGUUUUCGGAUUGUAAAGCUCUAUCCUCGAGGACGAAGGAAGUGACGGUACUCGAGAAGGAAGCCCCGGCUAACUACGUGCCAGCAGCCGCCGUAAUAC
rnacentral:rRNA from 1 species